rnacentral:rRNA from 1 species
UGGGGAAUAUUGGACAAUGGGCGAAAGCCUGAUCCAGCCAUGCCGCGUGAGUGAUGAAGGCCCUAGGGUUGUAAAGCUCUUUUGUGCGGGAAGAUAAUGACGGUACCGCAAGAAUAAGCCCCGGCUAACUUCGUGCCAGCAGCCGCGGUAAUACGAAGGGGGCUAGCGUUGCUCGGAAUCACUGGGCGUAAAGGGUGCGUAAGCGGGUUUCUAAGUCAGAGGUGAAAGCCUGGAGCUCAACUCCAGAACUGCCUUUGAUACUGGAAGUCUUGAGUUCGGGAGAGGUGAGUGGAACUGCGAGUGUGGAGGUGAAAUUCGUAGAUAUUCGCAAGAACACCAGUGGCGAAGGCGGAUCACUGGCCCGAUACUGACGCUGAGGCACGAAAGCGUGGGGAGCAA